AUUGAACGCUGGCGGCAGGCCUAACACAUGCAAGUCGAACGAGUGGCGGACGGGUGAGUAAUGUCUGGGAAACUGCUCGUUGGAGGGGGAUAACUAUUGGAAACGGUAGCUAAUACCGCAUACCAUCGGAUUUGCCCAGAUGGGAUUAGCUGGUAGGUGGGGUAACGGCUCACCUAGGCGACGAUCCCUAGCUGGGCUGAGAGGAUGACCAGCCACACUGGAACUGAGAAAGGGUCCAGACUCCUACGGAAGGCGGCAGUGGGGAAUAUUGCACAAUGGGCGCAAUCCUGAUGCAGACAUGCCGCGUGUAUGAGGAAGGCCUUCGGGUUGUAAAGUACUUUCAGAGAGGAGGCGGUACUCGCAGAGGAAGCACCGGCUAACUCCGUGCCAGCAGCCGCGGUAAUUC
rnacentral:rRNA from 1 species